UUACAAAAAACAUUGAAAUUUAGGACUAACAUUGUAUAAUUUAUUUCUUUUCAGGUACCCCCGCCAGAAGGACGGAAGCAUCGAGUCGCUGGAGGCCUCGAGAGUCAUUGGAGGUGAGUAUUAGUUGUGUUUUGGCAGGAAAUUAGCUGCGGACGCUGGAUGCGCGCCACUUGCAAUAUGUAUGUCCGGAAAGCGUUGCAGGUAGUUUAUUGGUGGUAAGUUUAUCCCGCGCCGCUGUCAUUUGGUGGUUUUCUCUUCCACCCUCAGUGGUAGAUGUUUGCAAUUAUUUAUUUAGUUUGUUAAAUUGCAGGUCAGCUUCGCCGGUCGUCGGGAAGAGGAAGCCUGAAGAAAGAUCCCGCACAGCGGUCGUCACGUAGUUUUGGAGCUGCUGCCAUUAUUGUGGUUGGAUAUGUCUCGUUUUGGCAGAGGAGUCGUCAGUGAUGAUUGUGGCUUGGUCGUUCAUCUAGAGUGGCUAGGUGCGCCGCGUUUUGUGGCCAUUUCGCCAGGGUUUGCAGCUUGGAGCCUCCGGAACGUGAUUAGUUGCCGAGGACCGUCGCAACGAUUGGAGCCGUGGAAAUGGAAGUAAAAUUAGAGAUUGGGUACAUUUGGUGGGAGGUACAUUAGGUGGAAGCUAAUCUGGUGGUGAGUAUUAUAAUUGUUUUUAUGGUUGCACUAAUAUUUUGUUUUUCAGGUACGUUUUGUAACUAAUUAGGAGGCCCUUUGUUUUUGAAACAUAGCAACGGAAGAGCCGCGGGUUUAGUGUCGUCGUUGUUGUUGCUGCUGGCUUCACUUUUAGAUACUGUUGCGCGCGCGCCUCUGUCUGUUUUAUAAUCUCAACUGACUUGCAAAAUUGGGCUAGGCGCGUAGGAGGCUUUUUCUAUAGCUCAAAGGCACGGCGGAAUAUCGAUAUGCUUUCAAUUUCCCUGCAGCUCGUUAUCGAUAUUUCACGCCUUUUUUUUUUGGCGGGCUUUUUGGCUAUUAUCUUUU